AGCGAACGCUGGCGGCAGGCUUAACACAUGCAAGUCGAACGGGCACUUCGGUGCUAGUGGCAGACGGGUGAGUAACACGUGGGAACGUACCUUUCGGUUCGGAAUAAUUCAGGGAAACUUGGACUAAUACCGGAUACGCCCUUCGGGGAAGAUUAUCGCCGAUAGAUCGGCCCGGCGUCUGAUUAGCUAGUUGGUGAGGU
rnacentral:rRNA from 1 species